rnacentral:lncRNA from 1 species
CCCUCUUCUGCCAUGUGAGGACACCAAGAGAAGAUGGCCAUCUGUGAACCAAUGCAGGCCCUCACCAGACUCUAAAUCUGCCAGUGACUUCUUCUUGGACUUCCAGCCUCCAGAAGUGCCCAGUUGUACCUUGUGGCCGGAUCUAUGGGAGCUCACUGCCAGGGCUCCACUAAAGACAUUGUGAAGGGGAUCUUUGCUGAGAGCUUCCGCUCCUUGUAGCCAGACCAGCACCAGCAGGAUGUCAUUAGCUUGGUUCUUCCUUUUUCACUGGGAUUCUA